CCUACGGGUGGCAGCAGUGAGGAAUAUUGGUCAAUGGGCGCGAGCCUGAACCAGCCAAGUAGCGUGAAGGAUGACUGCCCUACGGGUUGUAAACUUCUUUUAGAAAGGAGUAAAGUGAUGCACGUGUGCCUUUUUGUAUGGACUUUAUGAAUAAGGAUCGGCUAACUCCGUGACAGCAGCCGCGGUAAUACAGCGGAUCCGAGUGGUAUCCGGAUUUAUUGGGUUUGAAGGGUGAGUAGGGGGUCGGAUAAGUUAGAGGUGAAAUCCCGAGGCUCAACCUCGGAAUUGCCUGUGAUACUGUUCGGCUAGAGAGUAGUUGCGGUAGGCGGAAUGUAUGGUGUAGCGGUGAAAUGCUUAGAGAUCAUACAGAACACCGAUUGCGAAGGCAGCUUACCAAGCUACUUCUGACGUUGAGGCACGAAAGCGUGGGGAGCAAACAGGAUUAGAUACCCGGGUAGUC
rnacentral:rRNA from 1 species